AUACUUACUUGGGAGGGAAGAUAUCGUGAUUGUGAUGCUGGUCUUCUCAGAAUGAGGCUUACCUCUCACUUUACAGAUGUGUUGGAACCUGCAAUUUACUUCAAACAUAGGGAAACUCUACUUCAUCAAUUAAGGUAGUAGGGGGACAGCUUUUGAACAAUCCAUUG
rnacentral:snRNA from 12 species